ensembl:lncRNA
AUGGCCGACGCCCCACUCGAUUUGCUGCAACUCCCAGAAAGCCUCAGAGCAGAGAGGCUACGUGCGAACUCCUCCCCCCAUGACGUCUCUCCGAAGGCACAGGGUUCGGCGUCUCUCAAAGCCGCUGGUGGUAAGAAGGACCCUGACCACAAAGUGCGGGACGGCUACACUCACACCCCAGCCGGCCAAUCACAAGAGAGAAGGAAGCGGCCUCGGCCUCCCAACGCGGACGAAGGGCCCCCGGAAAUGCGGCGGCGGGUGGAGGAGUUCAGCGAGCGGGAGGAGAGCGCGUCGCUUUCCUCGGGGAGCGACAGCGAGGCCGAGGAGGAGGGGAAAGACAGCGAGUGGGAUAACGAGGGAGAGGUGAAGAGGGUGAAGCCCGAUGAAGGGCGGCUGCGCAAACACGUCGGGACAGGGGUCAACGCGGGCGAAAGGUCGGGCAAGAUCCACAAUGGACGCGCUGUGAUCCAGCAGCUGAAGAGGGCGGUGACCGCGCUGCCCCCCAGCAUCAAGACUGAGCAGGAGACCAACUCCUCCACAGCCGCCGGGGGGCGCUGGUCACAUUCACAGCCCCCCUUACACUCCGCAUCCAGCAGCCUCAAUGGCAGCAGCCCCCCCGCGUCCCUGGUGGACUCUGAAAGCCCAUCCAAGGCUCUGUACCCCCCCACUUCUCCGCCCACCCUGUCUCCACCCCUUAGGGUGGAGGAGCGAGGCUCCCUGGGUCCCCACGGUGGCCGGGCGCCGGACUUUGAACUGUUGCAGAGACUGGCAUCUGCCGGGGGGGCAGCUGGGCGUGUGCUUUUCCACCCGCUGGCCCUCGGCCCCCAGGGGCCGCAGAGCCUUUACGCCCCGAGCACGAUUCGCUACGCCCCGCCGGAGUUGCCCCCCAGCCACCCAGCCGCCGAGGGUCUCCGGGCGGACCACCCGGCCGCCAAACCUCCCGCAUCCUUCUUCCCGCACCUGCAGAGGAUCACCGCCCUGCCCCCGUUCAGCGGCUUCUCCGCCACGGAGCCCCACUUCUCAGCCGGACUCCCCUUCUGCAUGAAUGGGCUGAGAGGAGCGGCCGGACCGGAAGAGGACUGAGCAAGGUCGCCGUGGAGACAAACGGGAUGGAGAAACGGACAGCGGAUCGAGUCACAUUGUCUUCCCCCAAACAUCAGCAGCAGAACGUCACCCAAUGGCUGCGAGCAGCAGAGACCUGAACAGAAAAGCCAUAAUGUAACCCGAGAGAGCGUCAUAAACACAGCCCAUCUCAUCACGGCCACCGGAAUAUGCAAGCUGGUCAUCUGUCUCUGCAGAAAUCACAGCCAACUGGUCGUCCGUGGAAAAAAAGUGAAAUUAGGAAUAGCACAUCCCGCGACAGACACUGAACCAUUUUACUUCUGUCCACAAAAGUCCCAGAAGUAAAGUAUUGUGGGCUCUCCAGGACGUAGGUCAAACAGCAAAAGCACACAAACGACUGCUGGCUGAGAAUCGUCCAGCCAUAAUUCCAAAGUUGGCAGGAUCUGCUAAUAAUAAAUCAGUAAGGGUCCCCCAAUGUUCCCGAUUGGUUUGUCCACCCGAGGAGACGCUGACACCCCAAUGUCCCCCAUCGGUUAAUGGUUUGUUAUUAAUUUGGAUCUUUUUUUAACAACAGACCGCACCAGAGCACUUACAGUAUGUAUCUACACAAAGCACUUCCCGUUUCUUCCCGUUUCUUCCCGUUUCUUCCCGUUUCUUCCCUGUUUAAUGUAUAGAACCGCCGGGAAGCAUUGUGCAUCUGGUCAAUAAUGAUUAUUGUAAAAUUAAGUAAAUAAGAAACAAAACGCACUGCGGAAAGUGCACCAUCGCGUGGUCUGUGAAGUAGGGUUACUCUCUUAGAAAAGAAAGGAAGGAAAACCUAUGGUGAGACGUGGUCGGCUUUACGGCGUCUCUCUGAAACCAAGUGUGGAUGCGGGUCGGACGGCGGGCGGUGGCCCAAGGGAAUUCAUCUGGAUUUCCUCCUGCUUUCUGUUGCACUUGUGGGUAAAGAGCCGGCUUUUUAUACGAAAAAUAAAUGAAAACUGAAUUCGUGUGGGGCAUCCUGAGCAAAUAAUGCAGUAUUAUAAAGGACAGUUGCAAACCGUGUCAGUAUUUUGCCAGUAGGAUGGAGGUUUUGUGCAAACGACCACAUUUUAUUUUAUUUUAUUUUUUACUGAACUCAAAUAUGUAAAAGGUCUUUUUACGUGCGAUUGCAAGUGCAUUUAUGACUAUGCGAUGUGUGAGUGUGAGUGUGUGUGUGUAACCUUUGCCAUCACUGUGAUUCUAACCUUUUAUGUUUUACUUUGUGAAUAUACCAUCCAUUUAAAAGAGAAUUAAACACUGUAAAAUUAUUAUAAUGAAAACAAGAAUUACAACAAUAAAAAAAAAAAUAUUCCAGUAGAGCUGCUGCAGUUUGUCUUUGUUUAAUGAUUUUUACUUUGCUAAUUAGAGGAACACACAAGCACACUUUGCUGAAUUAUUCAUGAAGUGACCAACAGCAUCAUUAAAUAAAAACUGGCCUAUGGCAAUUUCCGGUGGAGUGAGUAAUAACUGCUUGUGUCAUUUUUCUACAGUCAAUCUCGAUUAACCUCACACUUGCUUUGUCAUGAUGUUUUGCUACGUCCACUCAAAAACACAUUUACAUUUAAAGGUAUAAAGCGUGUAGCGGUGGCAUUUAGGCGCG